rnacentral:rRNA from 1 species
UGGGGAAUAUUGCACAAUGGGCGCAAGCCUGAUGCAGCCAUGCCGCGUGUGUGAAGAAGGCCUUCGGGUUGUAAAGCACUUUCAGCGGGGAGGAAGGCGAUAAGGUUAAUAACCUCAUCGAUUGACGUUAACCGCAGAAGAAGCACCGGCUAACUCCGUGCCAGCAGCCGCGGUAAUACGGAGGGUGCAAGCGUUAAUCGGAAUUACUGGGCGUAAAGCGCACGCAGGCGGUUUGUUAAGUCAGAUGUGAAAUCCCCGGGCUCAACCUGGGAACUGCAUCUGAUACUGGCAAGCUUGAGUCUCGUAGAGGGGGGUAGAAUUCCAGGUGUAGCGGUGAAAUGCGUAGAGAUCUGGAGGAAUACCGGUGGCGAAGGCGGCCCCCUGGACGAAGACUGACGCUCAGGUGCGAAAGCGUGGGGAGCAAACAGG